AAGCUUGUUACAUGGACAAGCUCCACACGGCGCACGCUAGAUCCCGUUCCUACAACGUGGGCUCUCCCCCCACGAUCUCCUAGGGUUUCCUCUAACCUGCGCCGAGCGUAGGCGGCGCUCCACCCCGUUCCCGCCGCGCGGGCCGUCGCAUCCGUGAGCCCCAAGUCGUACGCGCGAGUUAAGGGCGAGGAUUCUGUCGGAAUCCCUGAUCCGACGGCUAUUGACCCCUAAGCACGAUAGCCCCGCCCAUCCCGGCGGUGCACGAUAAAUCCAGCCUCCAUCCCCUCUGCAUGGAUGCGGUCUUCUCCUCUCCCGCUCUUUCUUCUGUUUUCUUCUUUUCCUCCCUUUUUAUCUAAUUUGCUGGAAGUUAUUCCGAUUUUCCGCUGAGAUUAUAGGGUUAGGGUUUGUUUUUUAUGAAUUGGAAUGGUUUGAGCUGGGGUUUGGCGGGAAUGGAGAUGUGAUCGAUUCAAGGAGAGAUGGAGAACCCAUCGCGCCCGGCGAUACAUAGAAACCCGUACGAGGUGUUGGGGGUCUCUAGGUUUUGCUCAAGCCUCGAGAUCAAGGUUGCUUACCGGAAAUUAGCACUCAGGUACCACCCUGACAAAAAUGUUGAUGAUCCUGAAGCUUCCGAGCAUUUUAAGGAGGUUUCUUAUUCUUAUACCAUCCUAUCUGAUCCAGAGAGAAGAAGACGUUAUGACAAUGCUAGACUGGAGGCAUCAAAUUUUAGCUCAAGUUUAUCUAUAACGGACAAAGCAUCAGAAAAUCCUGGGCUGGUUAUAGAUGCUCCUGAUAUCAGCACUGACUUAUCUCCAGAAGAUGUUGACUCCAUAGAUGAAAUGCCUGAAGAUGCAAUUCUAUCAAAACAAACUUCUGUAAAUCUUGUCCCAUUCAUUGGCCAAAGAUUUGAAUCUCAGGAUGCUGCUUAUGAAUUUUAUUGCAGCUUUGCAAAGCAAUGUGGCUUCUCUAUUAGACGUCAUCGCACUAGAGGAAAAGAUGGUGUUGGUCGAGGAAUCACCAGAAGGGAUUUCACCUGUCAUCGUGGUGGAUUUCCUCAGGCAAAGCAAUCAGAUGACAGCAAGGCGCAGAGAAAUCGAAAAUCAUCACGUUGUGGAUGCCAGGCAUACAUGAGGAUAGUUAAAAGGGCAGACUUUGAUGUCCCUGAAUGGCGUGUCACUGGCUUUAGCAAUGUCCACAACCAUGAACUCUUGAAAUCAAACCAAGUGCAUCACCUUCCUGCCUAUUGUACCAUAUCAGCAGAUGAUAAGAGCCGCAUUUGCAUGUUUGCUAAAGCAGGAAUGUCUGUACGGCAAAUGUUGAGACUAAUGGAGCUUCAGAAAGGCGUGAAACUUGGUUGUCUACCCUUUAAAGAAAUAGAUGUAAGGAACUUACUACAAUCUUUUAAAAAGGUGGAUCGGGAUCAUGAUGCUAUUGACCUUCUUGCGAUGUGCAAGAAAUUCAAAGAUGAAGAUCCCAACUUCAAAUACGAAUUUAAGAUAGAUGGACAUAACAGAUUGGAACAUAUUGCCUGGUCAUAUGCUUCGUCGGUUCAGUUAUAUGAAGCUUUUGGAGAUGCGGUGGUUUUUGACACAACUCACCAUGCCGAUGCUUAUGAUAUGCUAUUAGGAAUCUGGAUUGGAGUGGAUAAUCAUGGAAUGAAUUGCUUUUUUGGAUGUGUUCUUCUACGAGAUGAAAAUAUGCAAUCAUUUUCUUGGGCUUUGAAGACAUUUUUGGGUUUCAUGAAAGGAAAGGCUCCACAAACAAUUUUAACAGAUCAAAACAUGUGGCUUAAAGAGGCAAUCUCUGUUGAAAUGCCGAGUACAAAGCAUGCCUUCUGCAUUUGGCACAUCAUUGCAAAAUUUUCUGAUUGGUUUUCAGUACUUCUUGGGUCACGGUAUGAUUAUUGGAAGGCUGAGUUCCACCGGCUUUAUAAUAUGGAGGUAGUUGAGGAAUUUGAAGUUGAAUGGAGGGAAAUGGUUAAUGCUUAUUCACUUCAUACAAAUAAGCAUAUAGCCAGUUUAUAUGCAUUGAGGACAUAUUGGGCAUUGCCAUACUUGAGAUGUUACUUCUUUGCAGGAAUGACUGCAACAAUAUAUUCGGAGUCAGUAAAUGCUUUCAUCCAACAGUUUCUUAGUGCACAAUCUCAGCUUGAUCAUUUUGUAGAGCAAGUGGCAGUUAUUAUAGAUUCUAAAGAUCAAGUAGGAGGAAAACAAAAAUCACAACGAAAGCUCCACAAGAUAUGUCUCAAAACAGGGUCCCCUAUGGAGUCCUAUGUAGCUACUGUCCUUACCCCUUAUGCCUUUUGCAAGCUCCAGGAGGAGCUUGUAUUAGCUCCACAAUAUGCAUCAUUUCCAAUCGAAGAUGGAUGCUUUCUUGUGAGACACCAUAAACAGGUGGAUGGAGGGUGCAAAGUAAUUUGGGCACCUCAGGAAGAGCUCAUAAGCUGUAGUUGCCAUCAUUUUGAGUUUACAGGAAUCCUUUGUAGGCAUGUCCUUCGUAUUCUUUCAACGAAUAAUUGCUUUCGCAUUCCAGAUGAAUACCUACCUAGUCGUUGGCGCCGUGUCAACUUGCCUCUGACUAGGUGCUCUAGAACUGCUCUGAGAGAACAUGCUGAACGAGUUCAUUUAUUGCAAUCUCUGGUGUCUACUCUAAUGGCAGAAUCAGUUGAGUCAGAUGAGCGACUUGAGGUUGCUUUGGAACAAGUAGCCAUGGUGUUGUCUCGCAUUAGAGAAUUUCCUGGUUCCACACAUGGUAUGAGCGAUAUUGCUUAUGGGAGCCCUUCUGAGUCGCUGAUUAUACCAGAAGUAGAGGACACUGAUGGCAUUAUCCAGAGCUUUGCUGCUGGGCAUACUCAUGAAUCUUAUACUUUGGGCAAGCUAAAAGAACGACGGGCAAGAGAUGGGGUAGAGAUGUCAAAGAAAAGGAGGCAUUAUCCAGCACCUUGCUGUGGGCAAUUUGGACAUGAUGCUAAUGACUGCCCAAUAAUGGGAACUGAAAGUUUGAAUGGAGAUGAUUUGGGAUUCUUGUAGGACGCCUGGCUGAUAUAUAAAAUGAUGAUAGUUCCUUCAGUCGUUGUACAUAGAUGUAUUCUUUUUUCUCCCCCAAAUUCAGGUCAUGCUCAGGCGAGUCGCACCACAAGAUAUCAGCAGCAUAUUGCCGUACCAAGAAGGCAAGGUUCUUUUCUUUUCUUCUCUCAAACUGAACUUACCCACACCUGUCAUUCUUUGUGAUGUCUGUGAUAAGGUAGAGAUUUGAAAUUAAGGCAAAGAUUUGAAAUCAGUCACCAAGUUCAGCCAUGUCAAAUAUGUUGGACCGUAUUUGAUGCAAAUUCCUGCCAA